rnacentral:rRNA from 1 species
UACGUAGGUGGCAAGCGUUGUCCGGAUUUAUUGGGCGUAAAGGGCGCGCAGGCGGUUCGUUAAGUUCGAGGUGAAAUCUCCCGGCUCAACUGGGAGGGGUCUUCGGAUACUGGCGGACUUGAGGAGAGCAGAGGUGAGCGGAAUUCUCGGUGUAGUGGUGAAAUGCGUAGAUAUCGAGAGGAACACCAGUGGCGAAGGCGGCUCACUGGGCUCCACCUGACGCUGAGGCGCGAAAGCGUGGGGAGCGAACCGGAUUAGAUACCCGAGUAGUCC